rfam:Bombyx mori DNA, contig: Bm_scaf95_contig35152, strain: p50T/Dazao, build 2, whole genome shotgun sequence.
UUAACUCAAAUUUGUAUGGAGUUGGAACAUUUGCCUUCGUUUGCCACUAGGGGCGCUGUUCCAACUCAAUACAAAUUUGAUUUA